UACAGAGGGUGCAAGCGUUAAUCGGAAUUACUGGGCGUAAAGCGUGCGUAGACGGUUACAUAAGUCGGGUGUGAAAGCCCCGGGCUCAACCUGGGAAUUGCAUUCGAGACUGCGUAGCUAGGGUGCGGAAGAGGGAAGCGGAAUUUCCGGUGUAGCGGUGAAAUGCGUAGAUAUCGUAAGGAAGACCAGUGGCGAAGGCGGGUCUCUGGACAGUUCCUGACACUGAGACACGAAGGCCAGGGGAGCAAACGGG
rnacentral:rRNA from 1 species